UCCUGGGGCUGAAGUCGGUCCCAAGGGUAUGGCUGUUCGCCAUUUAAAGUGGUACGCGAGCUGGGUUUAGAACGUCGUGAGACAGUUCGGUCCCUAUCUGCCGUGGGCGUUGGAAGAUUGAAGGGGGCUGCUCCUAGUACGAGAGGACCGGAGUGGACGAACCUCUGGUGUUCGGGUUGUGUCGCCAGACGCAUUGCCCGGUAGCUAAGUUCGGAAUUGAUAAGCGCUGAAAGCAUCUAAGCGCGAAGCGAGCCCUGAGAUGAGUCUUCCCUGACAGUUUAACUGUCCUAAAGGGUUGUUCGAGAC
rnacentral:rRNA from 1 species